UAGACUGUUCCCUCUGCUUCCUCUGAGACCACUAGGUCCCGGCCGCAUGGUCUCCCACACCCCAGCCCCUCCUGCAAGCUUCCCUGUGCCAUACCUUCCAGGGGACCCAGGUGCCCCAUGCUCUAGUGUCCUCCCAACCACUGGCAUCUUGACUCCUCACCCAGGACCUCAAGAUUCCUGGAAAGAAGCCCCAGCCCCCAGGGGAAACCUCCAGAGGAACAAGCUGCCAGAGACAUUUAUGCCCCCAGCACCAAUUACUGCUCCAGUUAUGAGCCUCACCCCUGAGCUACAAGGGAUUCUUCCCUCACAGCCCCCUGUCUCCAGUGUGAGUCAUGCUCCCCCAGGAGUUCCAGGAGAACUCAGCCUGCAGGUGACAAGGACAAUGUAUUCCCCUCCCUUGGGAAACCUUCCAGCCCUCCUUGGGUGCAGGUCAUGGUAGAUGGGCCUCAUUCCUCAAGGCAUGUGCUGAGGGAGACUGGGGGCAGGUACCAGGUGUCCUUACUGCAGAGAAAGGGAGGCUGCUCAUCUCCCCAACUCUGCUGUAAUGGGAACAGUGUGACUGUGAGUCACUGGGGACUAGUCCUUAGGGAAGCCAUGAGAAGGACAGCUUGCCCCUCUGGCCUUUCUCCCUGCUUCUUUAUCAGCAGCUUCAGCACCUGCCACCUGAGAAGAUGGAAAGGAAGGAGCUGCCCCCAGAGCAUCAGUCCUUGAAGAGCAGCUUUGAGGCGCUUCUCCAACGCUGCUCCCUGUCUGCAACUGACUUAAAGACAAAAAGGAAGCUGGAAGAGGCAGCCCAGCGUCUGGAGUAUCUAUAUGAGAAGCUCUGUGAGGGGACAGUAAGUACAGCUAGCUGUGCUCCCACUGCCUCCUACACUUCCACCAUCACCAUGGCCAAAGGAAGCCCAGUGUCUUUUCUUCCCAUAGGUGUCACUGACCUGGGUUCCCCACAAAAUACGUGCAUCUUGCCUGGACUGGGCCCCAGAACUUAAGUCUUCCCUUAUCCCUUCCAUGCUGCCAGGGUAGGAGCUGGGUUGGGCUCACUAACCUAAGGGUCAUUCCCUCCACAGCUCUCACCUCAUGUCGUGGCUGGGCUCCAUGAGGUUGCCCGAUGUGUGGAUGCAGGAAGCUUUGAGCAGGGCCUUGCAGUGCAUGCCCAGGUGGCGGGCUGUAGCAGCUUCAGCGAGGUGUCCAGCUUCAUGCCUAUCCUGAAGGCUGUCCUCAUCAUCGCUCAUAAGCUGCUGGUCUAAACCAGGCAGCCUCUCUUGCUAGGAGGCCACUUCUGCUGUUACAUAACUCCUCCCUGCAGAAGAGGGGACUUCUGCAACAGAUUCUGUUUCUUUUUCCCGACUCUUUUCCUUGCUGCCAGGUAUGUGAUGCUGUAGGCUUGGCUCCAAACCAGCUGAGUGCCUGCUUUUUACUCCUUUAUGUCUGGCCUUCUAGGAUCUGUCCAAGACACUCUCAGGCCUGGAGGCAGGGCAUAGAAUCAGUUCUUCACUCUCCCUAAUACUACACUCUGUAAGGACCUGGGGCAGGAUAUCUUCUCCCCCAGGGAUCUUCUAUUUAAGUGGCUUCUGAGAGGGUGAACAGGAUUGUUACUUUUAAGCCUACCUCUGCUGUGACCCAUCAUGUGGGUCUUUUGUUUCUCCCUUCUGUGGUUUAUGAGCCUGCCCUUACCUUUUCCCUGCCUCUGACUUGGUAUUUCCAGGUCCGUAUUUCUCUGUAGCCCAGGGUCUGGGGUAGAGCUGACUGCUGUUCACCCUUUGAACAACUCAUGGACGUGAGGGAUGGGUGCUGAGCAGAACCAAGAGAGGAAACUUUGGCGCUGUUAAAAUGGAAUUUCUCAUCUGCCGGCAUUAUUAAGGGUGGGCUAGGUUGGAUGGAAGGUGAAAGGGAUGAACUGCCUUUUGCUGGAAGCUGUCUUAGGCUGUGAGACAGGAGCAGGGGAACCACAGCCUAUGGGGAACUGCCCUUGACUCCACCUAUGUUGGAGCCUUAGCCCAAGGCCAUUCCUUCUGUGAUGAUAAAGCCCAGUUCUGGAAUUGGAGCCAUAUUAAGGAAUGAUUCUCUUCCAGCGCUGCUCCUCAAGGGUUGGGGGUCCUUCUCCCUCGCAGCCACCACAUGUCUCAGGGCUACCUUCUCCGAUUGGAUUUGCAUUUGUGGCACUGUCUUUGAUGCAGUGAUGUACUUAAUGGUGCAAUAAAGCUGCUUCGAUUUGGU
rnacentral:lncRNA from 1 species